UGGGGAAUUUUGCACAAUGGGGGAAACCCUGAUGCAGCGACGCCGCGUGAUUUAGAAGGCCUUCGGGUUGUAAAAAUCUUUUCUAUGGGAAGAAAAUGACAGUACCAUAGGAAUAAGGACCGGCUAAUUACGUGCCAGCAGCCGCGGUAAUACGUAAGGUCCGAGCGUUGUCCGGAAUCAUUGGGCGUAAAGGGUACGUAGGCGGGUAAGCAAGUUAGAAGUGAAAUCCUAUAGCUCAAUUAUAGUAAGCUUUUAAAACUGCUCAUCUUGAGGUAUGGAAGGGAAAGUGAAAUUCCUAGUGUAGCGGUGAAAUGCGCAGAUAUUAGGAGGAAUACCGGUGGCGAAGGCGACUUUCUGGCCAUAACCUGACGCUGAGGUACGAAAGCGUGGGUAGCAAACAGG
rnacentral:rRNA from 1 species